GCAGUGAAUUCUACAAAGAGGCUAUGGGAAAGAAACCUGGAAAGUACCCUUGGCUGUGUACAUUUGAGUAAAGAGAGCACUAUAAAAUCAAAAACCAAUGAAAUGGUUUCCAGAACACAGAACUAUUAAGCUUAAGAAAAGGACAGAAGGAACUGAAGAGAGAGGAACUGUUUUGGAGCAUCACACUUCCACCUCAGAAGAAAUAAGGAAGGAAGGAGGAGGGUGUUCCCACGGCUCUUCAACCAGGCGGGCUCUUCAGCCUACAUCCCCAUCUCAUCAAGUAAAAGGGAUUUUUCAACUGGACCAACCAGAUGGUUUAACAGUGCACUCCCACACCAUUCAACUACGCAAGGGAGAUACACUUAACAUAUGCAGUCGUAUAACACCUACUAACAUUUUCAAACAUUAAACCUUUAAAAAAGAGUUCUAAAGAAAUAGAAGCUUGAAGUAUCAUCUCUCAAGUAUAUAGACACUACUUCAUGGUGUGGUAAUAUAUGCAUAUAGAAGCUAGUAAACACCUCCAGGAGAUGCAAAAGGAAUUAGAACUGCCACAAGGUGCAAGCAAAACCUUGAGGUGAGAAAAUCGAAUUUGGACACCGUUGAGGAGACUAUUGCAGUCAUCCAAGCUCAAGAUGGUGGAGCUUCAUCCUUGAGAAUAACCAAUGGGGAUAGAUUUAAGAGACACUUAGAGUCUGCAGCCAACAGGGCUGAAUGAGCAUUCUGUUUUUCCUCUUCUAAUCCUUCACCCAUCUGAGCUAAAGUCUAGACCUAAGGAGGCUACUAAUUCAGGGAUCGAGUAAUCUGCCAAGCAAGAGUUUAUUCAAGCACAGUUUGAAAUAAAGGUUUCAAAUGCAUAGCCUGUCGAUACUUUGGAAGGAUUCUCAUCAUAACGAGUAUGCAAUUUGCUAUAAAGAAGAAUGCCCAUUACGGACUAAAUGUUUAUGUCCUCCUAAAAUUCAUAUGUUGAAGGCCUAACUCUCAAUGUGAUGAUUAUGUGGAGAUGGUGCCUUUGGGAGGUAACUGGGCUUAGAUGUGGGCGUGAGGGUGGGGCCUCAUGGUGAAAUUUGUGCCCUUGUAAGAAAAACACACCACAGGUUUUCAUUCUUCCUCUGCCACAUGAGGCCACAGUAAGAAUGUGACCAUCUGCUAGCCAGGAGGAAAGUCCUCACUGGAACCCGCCCAUAAUAACACUCCAGUCUGGGGCUUUUCAGCCUCCAGAACCAUGAGAAAUAAAUUUCUAGUGUUUAAGUCA
rnacentral:sRNA from 1 species